rnacentral:rRNA from 1 species
GUGAGGAAUAUUGGUCAAUGGGCGGGAGCCUGAACCAGCCAAGUCGCGUGAAGGAAGAAGGAUCUAUGGUUCGUAAACUUCUUUUGCAGGGGAAUAAAGUGCAGGACGUGUCCUGUUUUGUAUGUACCCUGAGAAUAAGGAUCGGCUAACUCCGUGCCAGCAGCCGCGGUAAUACGGAGGAUCCGAGCGUUAUCCGGAUUUAUUGGGUUUAAAGGGUGCGUAGGUGGUUUGAUAAGUCAGCGGUGAAAGUUUGCAGCUUAACUGUAAAAAUGCCGUUGAAACUGUCGGACUUGAGUGUAAAUGAGGUAGGCGGAAUGCGUGGUGUAGCGGUGAAAUGCAUAGAUAUCACACAGAACUCCGAUUGCGAAGGCAGCUUACUAAGCUACAACUGACACUGAAGCACGAAAGCGUGGGGAUCAAACAGGAUUAGAUACCCGAGUAGUCC